rnacentral:lncRNA from 1 species
GACUCGAAAGCUCUUCACUGUGGAAUAAAGACUCUGUCGGCUGAUGCAAGGUGCCAGCGGACAGCAUAUGCCUGUGUGAAUUGAAUCAUUUCUCCAGCGCUCUGGUUUCCAGCUUUGUCUCUCAUUUGCAUGGUGUGUCCCAUGUUCGUUUCAUUUCCCUUCGGAUUACAUAUGCAGGCCACGUGGAAUCCAUACCUUCCUCUUUUCCUGACUCUGAAGCAGACAUUGGUCAGGCUGAAGGCCUCGUUUUCCUAGUCCCCCUGUCCUUUCCUGUAAUGGUCAGGAGAGAACUCAGACACAGUGGCCACAGUUCAAGAAAGACAAAGGGCGACCGUAAACUAUACCUUAACUCGUGGAACUUCUUCAUGGGGCGAGACCAACUGCCUAUACCUUCAGUUCCAGAUGGUUUGCUGAAGACUCCAGUCCUGUCCUGGGAAAUCUCAUGACUCUUCUUGUCUUUUUUCCACUGUUGAAUCCCAUCUUCUGUUUCCUUUUGUGUGUAUCAGCUGAGUAUUGUGA